GCUCCGAUCACGGCGGAGACGGCGACGAUUCGGCAACUCCGGCGGAAGGUAAGUUUUUCUUUUUCUUUUUUCUUUGUUAUUUUAUACGAAAUAAAACGAAAAUAAAAGAAAAUAAAACACAUGUAAAUAAUAAUAAAAAUACUAUGAAAAACGAAAAGAAAAAAACCUUUGUAAAAUAACUUUGAUAUCUGUAUUUUCUCUCUAUUUCUGUCUCUG
rnacentral:lncRNA from 1 species